rnacentral:rRNA from 1 species
CAAUAGCGUAUAUUAAAGUUGUUGCGGUUAAAAAGCUCGUAGUUGGAUUUCUGCUGAGAACGACCGGUCCGCCCUCUGGGUGUGUAUCUGGCUCUUUCUUGGCAUCUUCUUGGUGAACGUUGCUGCACUUGACUGUGUGGAGCGCUACCCAGGACUUUUACUUUGAGGAAAUUAGAGUGUUUCAAGCAGGCAUACGCCUUGAAUACAUUAGCAUGGAAUAAUAAGAUAGGACCUCGGUUCUAUUUUGUUGGUUUCUAGAGCUGAGGUAAUGAUUAAUAGGGAUAGUUGGGGGCAUUCGUAUUUAACUGUCGGAGGUGAAAUUCUUGGAUUUGUUAAAGACGGACUACUGCGAAAGCAUUUGCCAAGGAUGUUUUCAUUGA